rnacentral:rRNA from 1 species
CCCGCUGAACUUAAGCAUAUCAAUAAGCGGAGGAAAAGAAACUAACAAGGAUUCCCCUAGUAACGGCGAGCGAAGCGGGAAUAGCUCAAAUUUAAAAGCUGGCGGGUUCCCCGUCCGCAUUGUAGUCUAAAGAAGCGUUUUCGGCGGCUGUCCAGGUAUAAAUCCUUUGGAACAGGGUAUCAUAGAGGGUGAGAAUCCCGUCUUUGACCUGGUACGUGCUGCUAUGUGAUACGUUUUCUAAGAGUCGGGUUGUUUGGGAAUGCAGCCCAAAAUGGGUGGUAAAUUUCAUCUAAGGCUAAAUAUUGGCGAGAGACCGAUAGCGAACAAGUACCGUGAGGGAAAGAUGAAAAGAACUUUGGAAAGAGAGUUAAACAGUACGUGAAAUUGCUGAAAGGGAAACGCUUGAAGUCAGUCACGUUGACUUGGAAUCAGCUCUGCUUUUGCUGGGUGUACUUUCUUGUCAAUGGGUCAGCAUCAAUUUUGACCAUUGGAUAAAGUUGCUGGGAAUGUAGCAUCCUUUUGGAUGUGUUAUAGCCUGGUGAUGCAUACAGUGGUUGGGAUUGAGGAAUUCAGCACGCCACCAGGCCGGGUUUUGACCACGUUCGUGCUUAGGAUGCUGGCAUAAUGGCUUUAAUUGACCCGUCUUGAAACACGG